rnacentral:lncRNA from 1 species
CACUCGGCAAACGACACACGGUAAAUUUUGAGUCGGCAAAGUUAGCUUUGCCGAGUGUCCUAUGUCGUGCACUCGGCGAAGCUUUCGCCGAGUGACAACAAAACACUCGGCAAACAUAUUUUUCGAAAAAAAUAAAAAAAAACAAAAGUGGCAGCCAGCACCACUGCCGGCCACCACCGCCGCCGCCACGCCACAGCCGCCGGCCACCACCACCGGCCUCCACCACCGCCGCCUCGCCACAGCCGACGCCCACCGGCCUCCACCACCGCCACAACCGCCGCC